UCGCCUGCAUGAAGCUGGAAUUGCUAGUAAUCGCGGAUCAGCAAGCCGCGGUGAAUACGUUCCCGGGCCUUGUACACACCGCCCGUCACACCAUGAGAGUCGGGAACACCCGAAGUCCGUAGUCUAACCGCAAGGGGGGCGCGGCCGAAGGUGGGUCCGGUAAUUGGGGUGAAGUCGUAACAAGGUAAC
rnacentral:rRNA from 1 species